CUCCAUAUAAACCAGAAGGGGUCCCUCUCUCUCUCUAGCAUUUAAAAUUACACAGGCCACACAUAUAACCUGGGAACACAUCGCAUUUUCAUGCAUACAACAGAGAAAAUAACUGCCGGCGUAGCAAACGCAUGCAACUUAACGGACAGGCAACAUUUGAGGCAUACCUACUGAAUUUGAAUUGGGACCUUACCCAAGAAGUCCAAGACAAUCUUGAAAGGAACUUUGCUGUAAGGAGAAAAAAAAUGAAAAGGCAUAGGCAGAGGAAUUGCAGGAUUUAAGAGAGAGGAGGAUAUGGAUGAUGCCGAGAUGCUGAAGGUGAACGGUUGCUGGGGUGCGCUGGCAUUUUGGCUGGUUCAUGGAGGGAAGGUUUCGGUUCAACUGUACAGUGUCAGCCCAGUGAACAGGAACCAGUCAUCCCUUGACAUUUGAAAAGCCUGACAAGACCCUAAUAUCUGCAGCACUGCUAAGAAUGUGUGUGUGUGUGAGCUAUAUAGUUUAAUGCAAGAUCUCCUCCACACAAUUAAUGUCAAGAAGACGUGUACAUUAUCUGAAGAAAACCCGAGUGGCGCUUAUCUAUGCAGAACUCACUGCCAUCAUGGUUUUAUCGUCCAUUUGCUUUGAAAAGUAGCAGCACACUGAACAAUCCACACGAUUUCCUUUAAAAAGCUUCUAACCCUUAAAGUAUCAACAACGGUGCCUUGGCAAGGACCAUUAAGUAUGACAAAUCCGCUCGGCCUGCCAUUACGUCUUAGAGGUAUUUACGGCCAUUUAUUUCAUUAAACACUUUUAACGAGCUUUGGAUGAGAAAUUUAGCAUUUGAUGGGUUUAAACACCUCCUUGAUUCUGCUGCAAAUUACUGCCAGGACAUCAGAUGACAGAAAUGUCAUACUUAAAUGUCAGAGUGUUUAGCCGUAAUAGAGCGAACCGACCAAACAAAGGGCCUGAGCGUUUAUCUCUCCGCCACUGCUGCAAUCUCUACGCUUUCAUUAGGCAAACAAUGGCAUCUGAUCACUCACUGUUCUGCUUUGUUCCGUGUGAUUUCCUUCCGUGUAAGAAAGGUUUGAGAUGGCACAAAUGCCUCUGUGCACGUGUGUGGAUCGGCCCCCGAGUGCUGACGAUGCAAAAACAAAAAGGAAGAAACGGCAAAAACACGGAUUAAAUUACUGUGCAUCUUUGGUGUUUUGUCAGUGCGGAUGCCCGCUGCAAUACUUCACGAACCCACUGCUGCCAGCCUUUAUUUGCGCAUGCUAUCUGUGUUUGUCUGCUGCAGAGUGAUCAAUAGAAAAUAUCUGGUCUCAUAAAAAUAUGUACCUCUGUGCACAUUUUCAAAGCGAAACGUCCACAGAGUGGCGCUGAAACACAGGUACGUGAACCCCGGCACGUUUUUUAUUGCGUUGAUAUAGGUAUGUAAUGCGGCGGCAAUCUUUUACAAUUUCAUAGAUUUUUUUAUAAACAUCAUGAGAAGCUAUUGGCUGGGUUGAUAUAAUUCCUAAAUAUGAAAUUUCUUUAAUUUUUAUUAAUUGUUUGACCAUUUUAUUAGCUCUUUUUGUUGUGCUACUACUGACACAAUACAGCAAAUAAAAUCUGCAAAAACAACAACUCUAAAA